rnacentral:rRNA from 1 species
AUUGAACGCUGGCGGCAGGCUUAACACAUGCAAGUCGAGCGGAGAUGAGGUGCUUGCACCUUAUCUUAGCGGCGGACGGGUGAGGAAUGCUUGGGAAUCUGCCCAGUAGCGGGGGAUAACGUUUCGAAAGGAACGCUAAUACCGCAUACGCCCUACGGGGGAAAGGGGGGGAUCUUCGGACCUCUCACUAUUGGAUGAGCCCAAGUCGGAUUAGCUAGUUGGUGGGGUAAAGGCCUACCAAGGCGACGAUCCGUAGCUGGUCUGAGAGGAUGAUCAGCCACACUGGAACUGAGACACGGUCCAGACUCCUACGGGAGGCAGCAGUGGGGAAUAUUGGACAAUGGGCGAAAGCCUGAUCCAGCCAUGCCGCGUGUGUGAAGAAGGCCUUCGGGUUGUAAAGCACUUUAAGCGAGGAGGAAUGGCUGAGGGUUAAUAACCUUCAGCAGUGACGUUACUCGCAGAAUAAGCACCGGCUAACUCUGUGCCAGCCGCCGCUGUAACAC